GGGACACGUGGAGAUCGGGGUGUGACAACUCAAUCAAGUAAGCGAACGAGAAUACGGACGCGCAAGGCUAUACAUGUUUGGAUGUUUCAUCUAGAAGCGUACGCGGUUGAAGAUCGAGUCAAGACACGGAUUGUAUGUGGGUGUAUACGUAGUCACUUAAUUGAGUCAUGUAUGUUAGUUUUUGCAUUAAAUUAUAAAAGAGAUUAAUGUAUUUAAAUGAAAGAAAGAAUAUCAUGAAGGAAAUUUCUAGUUA